GAUGAACGCUGGCGGCGUGCCUAAUACAUGCAAGUCGAGCGAAUGAAGAGGAGCUUGCUCCUCUGAUUUAGCGGCGGACGGGUGAGUAACACGUGGGUAAUCUGCCUGUAAGACGGGGAUAACUCCGGGAAACCGGGGCUAAUACCGGAUAAUAAAAAGAAACGCAUGUUUCUUUUUUGAAAGUUGGUUUCGGCUAACACUUACAGAUGAGCCCGCGGCGCAUUAGCUAGUUGGUGAGGUAACGGCUCACCAAGGCGACGAUGCGUAGCCGACCUGAGAGGGUGAUCGGCCACACUGGGACUGAGACACGGCCCAGACUCCUACGGGAGGCAGCAGUAGGGAAUCUUCGGCAAUGGGCGAAAGCCUGACCGAGCAACGCCGCGUGAGCGAUGAAGGCCCUCGGGUCGUAAAGCUCUGUUGUUAGGGAAGAACACGUACGAGAGUAACUGCUCGUACCUUGACGGUACCUAACCAGAAAGCCACGGCUAACUACGUGCCAGCCGCCGCCGUAA
rnacentral:rRNA from 1 species